CGAAUUCGCCCUUCCUACGGGAGGCAGCAGUGGGGAAUUUUACGCAAUGGGGGAAACCCUGACGUAGCGACACCGCGUGAGCGAAGAAGCCCUCUGGGGUGUAAAGCUCUGUCAGCAGGGACGAAAAAAAUGACGGUACCUGCAGAGGAAGCAUCGGCUAACUACGUGCCAGCAGCCGCGGUAAGACGUAGGAUGCAAGCGUUGUCCGGAUUCAUUGGGCGUAAAGAGAUCGUAGGCGGUUUGUUAAGUCUGAUGUUAAAGAUCAGGGCCCAACCCUGAGAGUGCAUUGGAUACUGGCAGACUGGAGUGCAGUAGAGGCAAGUGGAAUUCCCAGUGUAGCGGUGAAAUGCGUAGAUAUUGGGAAGAACACCGGUGGCGCAGGCGACUUGCUGGGCUGUAACUGACGCUGAGGAACGAAAGCUAGGGGAGCAAAUGGGAUUAGAUACACCAGUAGUCCUAGCUGUAAACGAUGGAUACUAGGCGUUGCAGGUAUCGACCCCUGCAGUGCCGCAGUUAACGCGAUAAGUAUCCCGCCUGAGUAGUACGGCCGCAAGGUUGAAACUCAAAGGAAUUGACGG
rnacentral:rRNA from 1 species